rnacentral:rRNA from 1 species
AACGAACGCUGGCGGCAUGCCUAACACAUGCAAGUCGAACGAUUGCCUUCGGGUGAUAGUGGCGCACGGGUGCGUAACGCGUGGUAAUCUGCCCUUAGGUUCGGAAUAACAGCUGGAAACGGCUGCUAAUACCGGAUGAUAUCGCGAGAUCAAAGAUUUAUCGCCUGAGGAUGAGCCCGCGUUGGAUUAGGUAGUUGGUGGGGUAAAGGCCUACCAAGCCGCCGAUCCAUAGCUGGUCUGAGAGGAUGAUCAGCCACACUGGGACUGAGACACGGCCCAGACUCCUACGGGAGGCAGCAGUGGGGAAUAUUGGACAAUGGGCGCAAGCCUGAUCCAGCAAUGCCGCGUGAGUGAUGAAGGCCCUAGGGUUGUAAAGCUCUUUUACCCGGGAAGAUAAUGACGGUACCGGGAGAAUAAGCCCCGGCUAACUCCGUG